UACGUAGGGUGCAAGCGUUGUCCGGAAUUAUUGGGCGUAAAGAGCUUGUAGGCGGUCUGUCGCGUCUGCUGUGAAAAUCCGGGGCUCAACCCCGGACUUGCAGUGGGUACGGGCAGACUAGAGUGUGGUAGGGGAGACUGGAAUUCCUGGUGUAGCGGUGAAAUGCGCAGAUAUCAGGAGGAACACCGAUGGCGAAGGCAGGUCUC
rnacentral:rRNA from 1 species